GUGAGGAAUAUUGGUCAAUGGGCGAGAGCCUGAACCAGCCAAGUCGCGUGAAGGAUGAAGGAUCUAUGGUUCGUAAACUUCUUUUGCAGGGGAAUAAAGUGCGGGACGUGUCCUGUUUUGUAUGUACCCUGAGAAUAAGGAUCGGCUAACUACGUGCCAGCAGCCGCGGUAAUACGGAGGAUCCGAGCGUUAUCCGGAUUUAUUGGGUUUAAAGGGUGCGUAGGUGGUUUGAUAAGUCAGCGGUGAAAGUUUGCAGCUUAACUGUAAAAAUGCCGCUGAAGCUGUCGGACUUGAGUGUAAAUGAGGUAGGCGGAAUGCGGGGUGUGGCGGUGAAAUGCAGUGAUAUCACGCAGAACUGCGAUUGCGAAUGCAUCUUACUAAGCUACAACUGACACUGAAACACGAAAGCGUGGGGAUCAAACAGGAUUAAAAACCCCGGUAGUCC
rnacentral:rRNA from 1 species